GUAACGGCGAGUGAAGCGGCAAGAGCUCAAAUUUGAAAUCUGGCCCUUUUAGGGUCCGAGUUGUAAUUUGUAGAGGGCGCUUUGGCGUCGGCUACGGCCUAAGUUCCUUGGAACAGGACGUCACAGAGGGUGAGAACCCCGUACGUGGCCGCUGGCCUUCGCCGUGUAAAGCCCCUUCGACGAGUCGAGUUGUUUGGGAAUGCAGCUCUAAAUGGGAGGUAAAUUUCUUCUAAAGCUAAAUACUGGCCAGAGACCGAUAGCGCACAAGUAGAGUGAUCGAAAGAUGAAAAGCACUUUGGAAAGAGAGUCAAAAAGCACGUGAAAUUGUUGAAAGGGAAGCGCUUGCAGCCAGACUUGCCUGUAGUUGCUCAUCCGAGCUCCCGCUCGGUGCACUCUUCUGCGGGCAGGCCAGCAUCAGUCCGGGCGGUCGGAUAAAGGCCCUGGGAAUGUAGCUCCCCUCGGGGAGUGUUAUAGCCUGGGGUGCCAUGCGACCAGCCUGGACUGAGGUCCGCGCAUCUGCUAGGAUGCUGGCGUAAUGGCUGUAAGCGGCCCGUCUUGAAACACGGACCAAGGAGUCUAACAUCUAUGCGAGUGUUUGGGUGUCAAGCCCGGGCGCGUAAUGAAAGUGAACGGAGGUGGGAACCCCUCGGGGCGCACCAUCGACCGAUCCUGAUGUCUUCGGAUGGAUUUGAGUAAGAGCAUAGCUGUUGGGACCCGAAAGAUGGUGAACUAUGCCUGAAUAGGGUGAAGCCAGAGGAAACUCUGGUGGAGGCUCGCAGCGGUUCUGACGUGCAAAUCGAUCGUCAAAUUUGGGCAUAGGGGCGAAAGACUAAUCGAACUAUCUAGUAGCUGGUUCCUGCCGAAGUUUCCCUCAGGAUAGCAGUAACGUUUUCAGUUUUAUGAGGUAAAGCGAAUGAUUAGAGGCAUGGGGGUUGAAACAACCUUCACCUAUUCUCAAACUUUAAAUAUGUAAGAAGUCCUUGUUACUUAGUUGAACGUGGACAUUUGAAUGUACCGUUACUAGUGGGCCAUUUUUGGUAAGCAGAACUGGCGAUGCGGGAUGAACCGAACGCGGGGUUAAGGUGCCAGAAUGCACGCUCAUCAGACACCACAAAAGGUGUUAGUUCAUCUAGACAGCAGGACGGUGGCCAUGGAAGUCGGAAUCCGCUAAGGAGUGUGUAACAACUCACCUGCCGAAUGAACUAGCCCUGAAAAUGGAUGGCGCUCAAGCGUGCUACCCAUACCCCGCCGCCGGGGCAGAAUUUACGCCCCGGCGAGUAGGCAGGCGUGGAGGCUCGUGACGAAG
rnacentral:rRNA from 1 species